UCUUUCCAGGUGCAAAGCUUUGGGAUCUCUCCAGUUCUUCAAGGUCUAUGCUGGUCACAGCCAUCUCGCGUUCCACAAGGUCGGUUUGUUUUCUUCCUGGCGACGGAACAAAAAUGAAAAAGCUUGGUUGUUUGUGAGCAGUGUUUAUUGGCUUCGAAGAGUGGAUACCUGUCGAGGGUCUUGAAGAAUUCUUCUCGGUUCAAGCUGCCCAUGGAUUUUCCAGGAGGAAUGGAAGUGUUUGAGGCGGUGGUAGGCUUGUGUGAGAGCAACACUGGCAGCAGGACCAAUGCCGCCACCAAAAAUCCGCUUUUGGAACCGUCCAACGUUGCCAUCCUCCACUGCGCGGCCGAGUACCUGGAAAUGAACAGCGGAGCAGGAAGCCUGUGUGAGACAACGAGCUUUCACCUCAACCAGGCACUCACAAGUUGGUCGGACUCCAUCCAAGUUCUCUCGAGUUGCUACUCCGGACAGCCCGAGUUGCUACAGCUCGCCGAGGAGCUCUUCAUCGUCC
rnacentral:lncRNA from 1 species